rnacentral:misc_RNA from 1 species
ACAGCACUUGAAGUUCCUUCGCAGUUAGGGUUGUGCAAACACCAAAACUAGGGGAGAAGCAGCAAUUUAAACAAUCAUGGGUGACAACAAGAAGCAGAAGAAGGCUUUCCCUGUUCUUAAGUUAUUCAAGCCUCGGAAACCUUGCAGAGAAGAAGAUGGUUCUAGCCAUGGUAUGCGGUCUGGGAAGGUGCGGCCUAGCGAUGAAGAUGACAGUCCAUGGCCUGCUGAUCCUCGCAUAAAUGAUAAAGCUUCGGCUUUUAUUGACCGUAUCAAGGCAACCCACUUC